rnacentral:rRNA from 1 species
GACGAACGCUGGCGGCGUGCUUAACACAUGCAAGUCGAACGGAAAGGCCCUGCUUUUGUGGGGUGCUCGAGUGGCGAACGGGUGAGUAACACGUGAGUAACCUGCCCUUGACUUUGGGAUAACUUCAGGAAACUGGGGCUAAUACCGGAUAGGAGCUCCUGCUGCAUGGUGGGGGCUGGAAAGUUUCGGCGGUUGGGGAUGGACUCGCGGGUUAUCAGCUUGUUGGUGGGUUAGUGGCUUACCAAGGCUUUGACGGGUAGCCGGCCUGAGAGGGUGACCGGCCACAUUGGGACUGAGGUACGGCCCAGACUCCUACGUGAGGCAGCAGUGGGGAAUAUUGCACAAUGGGCGGAAGCCUGAUGCAGCAACGCCGCGUGCGGGAUGACGGCCUUCGGGUUGUAAACCGCUUUCGCCUGUGACGAAGCGUGAGUGACGGUAAUGAGUAAAGAAGCACCGGCUAACUACGUG